CUUGAACGCUGGCGGCAGGCCUAACACUUGCAAGUCGAGCGAGCGGCGGACGGGUGAGUAAUGUCUGGGCAACUGCCUGAUGGAGGGGGAUAACUACUGGAAACGGUAGCUAAUACCGCAUACCAUCAGAUGUGCCCAGAUGGGAUUAGCUAGUAGGUGGGGAAACGGUUCACUUAGGCGACGCUCCCUAGCUGGGCUGAGAGGAUGACCAGCCACACUGGAACUGAGACACGGGCCAGACUCCUACGGGAGGCAGCAGUGGGGAAUAUUGCACAAUGGGCGCAAGCCGGAUGCAGCCAUGCCGCGUGUAUGAAGAAGGCCUUCGGGUUGGAAAGUACUUUCAGCGGUGAGGCGUUACCCGCAGAAGAAGCAACGGCUAACUCCGUGCCAGCAGCCGCGGUAAUAC
rnacentral:rRNA from 1 species